rnacentral:rRNA from 1 species
AGCGAACGCUGGCGGCAGGCUUAACACAUGCAAGUCGAGCGGGCGUAGCAAUACGUCAGCGGCAGACGGGUGAGUAACGCGUGGGAACAUACCUUUUGGUUCGGAACAACACAGGGAAACUUGUGCUAAUACCGGAUAAGCCCUUACGGGGAAGAUUUAUCGCCGAAAGAUUGGCCCGCGUCUGAUUAGCUAGUUGGUGAGGUAACGGCUCACCAAGGCGACGAUCAGUAGCUGGCUGAGAGGAUGAUCAGCCACAUUGGGACUGAGACACGGCCCAAACUCCUACGGGAGGCAGCAGUGGGGAAUAUUGGACAAUGGGCGCAAGCCUGAUCCAGCCAUGCCGCGUGAGUGAUGAAGGCCCUAGGGUUGUAAAGCUCUUUUGUGCGGGAAGAUAAUGACGGUACCGCAAGAAUAAGCCCCGGCUAACUUCGUGCCAGCCGCCGCGGUAAU